GUUUUCUUGAUACCUGUACUGUGUUUUCCAUUAGCCUGUGGGAUACCGAGAUACUUGUGACUGACUCGGAUGUCACCUACGUUGCUCUCUGAUGGCGGUGUUACUGCAACUGAGAGAGAAACUGUGACGAAGAAAAGAGGAACCAAGGACAUUUGACUCAGUGGUCAAGAACAGGUCUUCAGGAUUGAGAGUAAAGAAAACACAGUUUGCACAUAAAAAUCAACACUUUAAAUUCAAAUCAUCAAAAAUGGGAAACGCACCAUCAGAAAGUAACAUGGGCAUCCGCCUGAAAUGCUGCAAGUGUUAUAAAGUCCUACCUCCAUGCAAAUCCUUUAAUGACUUUUAUCAAAGUACAGUUCAUGGGCGACAUGUAUAUGUGUACAAUAGAGGAGAAUACUACAGACCAGUUGGCUGUGAUAACAUGUACGAGUGUGAAUACUGCUUUAAUAAGCCAAUCAGGGAUCAUGAGAAGAUGAAGAGAGAGGAGGAGAGGAAGAGAAGAGA